rnacentral:rRNA from 1 species
UUUGAAGAGAGAGUUCAAGAGUACGUGAAACUGCUGAGAGGCAAACUGGUGGGCCCUCGAAAUCCCGUCUGCGGGGAGAUUCAGUCGGGUGUCGGCGGCCGUCUCGCAAUGGGUCUGUCGCAACCGAAGAUCGGGGCACAUUCCGAGAGGCGAGUUCGCCGGAACCCGACGCAUUUCCCGCCCGCACGAAAGGACGCCGCAGCCGGUCGGGUAGCUGCGCGUGUCGGCCAUGAGGACGUGGCAACGGCAGGUGACCGGCGGCCCUAGGCUUCUCCGGAGGCACUAACGGUCGACGGUUGAUUAGCCGGCUCGUCCGUGGCGCGACACCCGACCGAGGAAACACGGACGAAAAUUUUCUCUCCACGGAGAGAAACUUAUAAUCCACUACUUUCAAUACGAGAGCGAGCCGUCGGACAGGCGCGUUCCUGCGUGGUCGGACAGUCACCGCACUGGUCGAUCUGGUGGGAGCGCGUCGUUGGUUUCCGAGUCAGGAUCUCGCGGAGGAGGAUGAAGGCUGGCGGCGAGUAGGUCGGUAACCCACCCGACCCGUCUUGAAACACGGACCAAGGAGUCUAACAUGUGCGCAAGUCGCGGGGUCUUGCUCAGGCCCAGAGGCGAAAUGAAAGUGAAGGCCGCCGCUCUCCCUCGUUCACUCGGGGGCGGAGUGAGGCGGCCCGGUUGGGACUCGCACGUGACACGGCACGUGAACGAAGCACCAACGACCCGCCCUGUUCUAUCUUCUGGAUAGGAACUCAAACGGAGUUCGAGCGCACACGUUGGGACCCGAAAGAUGGUGAACUAUGCCUGGGCAGGACGAAGCCAGAGGAAACUCUGGUGGAGGUCCGCAGCGGUUCUGA